rnacentral:rRNA from 1 species
GAUCAUGGCUCAGGAUGAACGCUGGCGGCAUGCCUUACACAUGCAAGUCGAACGGCGGCACGGGAGCUUGCUCCUGGUGGCGAGUGGCGAACGGGUGAGUAAUACAUCGGAACGUACCCUGAAGUGGGGGAUAACGUAGCGAAAGUUACGCUAAUACCGCAUAUUCUGUGAGCAGGAAAGAGGGGGAUCGCAAGACCUCUUGCUUUAGGAGCGGCCGAUGUCGGAUUAGCUAGUUGGUGAGGUAAAGGCUCACCAAGGCGACGAUCCGUAGCGGGUCUGAGAGGAUGAUCCGCCACACUGGGACUGAGACACGGCCCAGACUCCUACGGGAGGCAGCAGUGGGGAAUUUUGGACAAUGGGCGCAAGCCUGAUCCAGCCAUGCCGCGUGAGUGAAGAAGGCCUUCGGGUUGUAAAGCUCUUUCGGUGGGGAAGAAAUUGCUUCGGUUAAUACCUGGAGUAGAUGACGGUACCCGCAUAAGAAGCACCGGCUAACUACGUG